rnacentral:rRNA from 1 species
UACGGAGGGAGCUAGCGUUGUUCGGAAUUACUGGGCGUAAAGCGCGCGUAGGCGGCUAUUCAAGUCAGAGGUGAAAGCCCGGGGCUCAACCCCGGAACUGCCUUUGAAACUAGAUAGCUAGAAUCUUGGAGAGGCGAGUGGAAUUCCGAGUGUAGAGGUGAAAUUCGUAGAUAUUCGGAAGAACACCAGUGGCGAAGGCGACUCGCUGGACAAGUAUUGACGCUGAGGUGCGAAAGCGUGGGGAGCAAACAGG